CUGGUGUCUGAAUGGGGUGGGUGGGGGCAGUUUUGGGGUUUGAGCCCUCAACCUGUGGCCUCUUGGUAGAUGGUGUCAGAAUCGAAUUAGAGGACACCCAGCUGGUGUCUGCUGCAGAACUGAUUGCUUGUUUGCUGGUGGGGAGAAAUCCUCCAUAUUUGGUCACAGGAGUCUUCUAGACCAGCCUGGCCAACAUGGUGAAACAUCAUCUCUACCAAAAAUACAAAAGUUAGCCA
rnacentral:lncRNA from 1 species